GUGAACGGGUUGUUCCACAUGAAGGUGUUCAUAGCUGGGGCAACAAAGAGUGGUUUGCUGUAGUCCCAUGCUCUCACUAUGCAUGUCAAGAGGUUGUCACAUAAACCACCAGCAAUCUGAACAAAACUAAUCCAGUGUCACUUUUUUGUAGGCAGCGAAAACAAGUUGACAUUAAAAUCACAUACCUUAGCUAGGGUAUUAGCUGAUAAUGGCGCAAUCACCAUGAUAUCUGCCCAUUUUCGCAGUUCAAUGUGCAAAACUUCAUCCCCUAUCUUCUUCCAGGUAGACCAUUCAUCAUCAUCAGUGUAAAGAAUAAUAUUGCUAGGCAGAGACGUUCUAUCAAUAAAAUGUAAUGAAGCCUUGGUGGCGACGGCUCUGACUUCUGCCCAUUCCGAGAAGCUACGGCAAAGGCUCUCAAAUUUUAUAGCAGCGACGCUUCCAGAGGCAGCAAGGAGGACCCGAGG
rnacentral:sRNA from 1 species